UACCUCUUAGCAGGGGAUAACACUUUUGGAAACAAAUGCUAAUACCGUAUAAUAAUUAAAACCGCAUGGUUUUAGUUUAAAAGAUGGUCUUGCUAUCACUAAGAGAUGGUCCCGCGGUGUAUUAGUUAGUUGGUGAGGUAAUGGCUCACCAAGACAAUGAUACAUAGCCGAGUUGAGAGACUGACCGGCCACAAUGGGACUGAGACACGGCCCAUACUCCUACGGAGGCAGCAGUAGGGAAUCCUCCACAAUGGACGAAAGUCUGAUGGAGCAACGCCGCGUGUGUGAUGAAGGGUUUCGGCUCGUAAAACACUGUUGUAAGAGAAGAAUGACAUUGAGAGUAACUGUUCAAUGUGUGACGGUAUCUUACCAGAAAGGAACGGCUAAAUACGUG
rnacentral:rRNA from 1 species